CAGGUAGCCGCGGUAAUACAGAGGGUGCGAGCGUUAAUCGGAUUUACUGGGCGUAAAGCGUGCGUAGGCGGCUUCUUAAGUCGGAUGUGAAAUCCCUGAGCUUAACUUAGGAAUUGCAUUCGAUACUGGGAAGCUAGAGUAUGGGAGAGGAUGGUAGAAUUCCAGGUGUAGCGGUGAAAUGCGUAGAGAUCUGGAGGAAUACCGAUGGCGAAGGCAGCCAUCUGGCCUAAUACUGACGCUGAGGUACGAAAGCAUGGGGAGCAAACAGGAUUAGAUACCCCCGUAGUCCCUGUCUCUUAUA
rnacentral:rRNA from 1 species